UAGCUAUGACUUGUUUACAGGUACAGCUAUCGCUUCGUAUGCAGGGAAAAUACCUAUGUAUACGGCGGGGGUAUGUUCGCGUGUCUGAAAAAACGUGGUAAUCCAGGGCGUGAUAGAUUAAGUUGGUAUCAGAGCUUAGAAUUAGAUCGUUGGGACCUAGAAAUCCUAGGCUUGGUAGACCUUAGGGAAGGCAAGACGCGAGAGGCAUGACUUAUUGCGAAAGUCGGCAAUUGAGUUGUUUUAACUCCUCCUAGAGCGGAGGAAGUGACUGAAUGAGUGUCUGUUUCUGCCAAGAAAAUUAUGUCGGCUGCAGACGACAUAAUUUUGAGGAGAAAUAGGGGCGGCCUUCUAGA
rnacentral:lncRNA from 1 species